AACGGGUGGUAAUGCCGGAUGCUCCGACUCCUCGCAUGGGGUGUCGGGAAAGAUUUCAUCGGUAUGGGAUGGGGUCGCGUCCUAUCAGGUAGUCGGCGGGGUAACGGCCCACCGAGCCUACGACGGGUAGCCGGCCUGAGAGGGCGACCGGCCACAUUGGGACUGAGAUACGGCCCAGACUCCUACGGGAGGCAGCAGUGGGGAAUAUUGCACAAUGGGCGCAAGCCUGAUGCAGCGACGCCGCGUGCGGGAUGACGGCCUUCGGGUUGUAAACCGCUUUUGAUCGGGAGCAAGCCUUCGGGUGAGUGUACCUUUCGAAUAAGCACCGGCUAACUACGUGCCAGCAGCCGCGGUAAUACGUAGGGUGCAAGCGUUAUCCGGAAUUAUUGGGCGUAAAGGGCUCGUAGGCGGUUCGUCGCGUCCGGUGUGAAAGUCCAUCGCUUAACGGUGGAUCUGCGCCGGGUACGGGCGGGCUGGAGUGCGGUAGGGGAGACUGGAAUUCCCGGUGUAACGGUGGAAUGUGUAGAUAUCGGAAAAGAACACCC
rnacentral:rRNA from 1 species